AUUGAACGCUGGCGGCAUGCCUUACACAUGCAAGUCGAACGGCAGCACGGGAGCAAUCCUGGUGGCGAGUGGCGAACGGGUGAGUAAUAUAUCGGAACGUGCCCGGUCGUGGGGAUAACGUAGCGAAAGCUACGCUAAUACCGCAUACGAUCUACGGAUGAAAGCGGGGGAUCGCAAGACCUCGCGCGAUUGGAGCGGCCGAUAUCAGAUUAGGUAGUUGGUGAGGUAAAGGCUCACCAAGCCGACGACUCU
rnacentral:rRNA from 1 species